AUCUUCUCGUCCUUACAACUGCAGGUUCCCAGCCCCAGUUCUUACUUUUCACUAAUCACUAAAUAACCAUCCCUCACCCCACGGUUUGCAUCACAGCGCUGUUGUGUGAGCAUAAGCGUUUACUCAUAAGCGGAGACGUAACGUGCACCAUCAGAAAUACUUGGCACUGGGUGUUUCCCAUGUUAAAACUAUAUCUGCUGUCCGAAAAAGGAAUAGCUCGGAGAGCCAGGCAGCAGCCAGCAGCUGCAGUGUCCUGUGAGGAGCAGACUGAGAAGAGCUCCACAAAGCUCAAUAGCGUGGCUAUAAAGGAGUAGUAAAUAGACUUACAGCCGGGACUGGUAGUAAAUGGGGGGAAAAAAUGAGUCAAAGAGACAAAACCAGAGAACAAAUCAUCCUUGGGGAAAAAAAAAAGCUGACAGCUGUAGUUUUGACAAGAAUGCUUCAAAAAGAAACUCUCCAGUUUUCUGUUUAUAUAUAUGCAAAUUUUUUGUAAUUUAGUGCUGAAGCUUCCUUAAUCUUAACACAGGGACUCUGCAUUUUGUUAUUCAGUAGGAUCAACUCCUAUUCUGUUUUGGUUUCCCCAACCCGGGUCUGUACAAGAGGCAGAGAGGGCCGAGGAUGGGCCCCCCCAGCUCUGAAGCCUGUGAUGCCACGUGUGCAGAAAUAAAAUUCCGUUAAUGCCUGCAGAUUGUUUCUGAGUGAUUCACCACAACUCUCAAAGCACGCUAUUUUAUUUGGUUCCUCUUACAGACAAGCAGCUCAGUGCAUCUGUGAGAUGAAGACUGAAGAAUCCAGAAUUCCUAGUGCUCAGGCAUUGAUCCUUCCAUUCCUGUUAUUUUAUUUAAGGGAAUUUUUGUUACGUGGUUUUCAAGCAUCUACCUGCCUUGCCCUCAGCCAGUGCUUACACUCACCUGAGCAGCUGCUUUUCCUUAGAUGCUCACAAAAUUAUCACUGUUGCUCCAGUUCUCUGACCCUUUAUCUCUAUAACUAGAGCAGCCAGAGGCAAUGAGAAUUGUGUAACCAUCUCCCCACUUCCCAAAUGCUUGGGACAGGUCUGGUAACUUUGAUAGUAUGUCUCAUGGGACACACAGAAUAAAUCUCUAUUAGAUUAGGGCACUUAUAAAUAAACUGGCUGCUUGCUAAAGAAAAAAAUGAAAAGGUCUUUAUUUUAGUUACUGGAUGAGAGAAGCAAGGAACACAAAUAUUUUGGCUAAUAUUAAACUAUUGGUAAAUGAUGAAAAAUCAGUAUCUUUAUUUUAAAAGUUAUCUAAAGCCAUGUAAUGAAAAUUAAACUACUGUCAGAUUGAAUGCCAACAAUUUAAAACCAGCAUGCCAUCUACAAUCUAAGGGUGUACAGAAUUACCCUGCACAGAUGGGACUCAAAGACUAGUCGUAUGGCCAGGUGAUAAAGAACUAAAAGUAAUGUUUUUUAUAGCAGAACAGCAUCUGUGAUAACCCACAGCCAUCCUCAGACACUGUGGAACUUGGCGGCAGAUUCACCGCUGAGAUAUAAAACACAUGACGAGCACGUAGUGACAUCAAAAGGAGUGCAAUGUAAUGGUGUUCAGAUGUCUCCCCUCAAGCCCACACAAAAGCUGCUCUGAGGGCUGCUGGAGCUCAGAACUCUCAAUGAUUCCCUUUUUAUAAGCCUGUUGUUAUCAAAUCCAAGGAGUCUUAUGAGCAGCACCUCCUGACUGUUCCUUUGCUAACUGAAGAGCAUGAAGGCUUCUUCUGUUGCCUGAAAGACGUGUGAAGGUUCAGGUUUUCGACCUCAAAUCCUGUUUUUACUUCAGAAGUCGAUUGCACAAGCGGACAGUGAAUGAGUGUCUCCGUUUCCCUUGCGGUCAGAGAAGAUCCUAUUCAUACUGAGUUUACAAGCAAACACUUCCUUUGGUAAGCUUCCCAUGCAAUUCAAUUCAUGUGUGUGCUUUCAGGCUCUGUCUUUGGGUCUGGACUAACAUCAGAACAAGCAAGAGAGGCAAGCUCUCUUCUCAGCCCACCACAGCCUUUUCUGCAGUGCUUUGAAAUGAUGAAACACACUGUGUUUUCUGCACACUGCUGCAGUCCUGUCAAGUCACUGCGAUUAUUCAUGCAUCAAGAGGCUAAGCACAUACAUGGGUAUCUACUGGAUGAUGUACACCCAUUCCAGAAUUUUACUUGCUUAACAAUCAAUCUAAUGUUUUUGCUCUUUAUAGUUACUGGCUGGGAGCCUAGAAUCUGCUGGCACCUACACACAGGAUUCUCCUCUGAGCAUUCUGUGACCACGUCAGGUGUUUGAAAUAUUAUGUAUUAACAAUAAGUACUUUAUGACCAGAAAAUAAAUUGUAAUUAAUGGAAGACUUGGAAUUUGCCGUCAGUACUAGUCUGUACCUGUAGUGAGGAGCCAUCAGCUUAAG